GCCGAGGUCGCCUAGCCUGGUAGGGCGCAGCAUUGGAAAUGCUGUGGGCUUCCACCCACGGGCGUUCAAAUCGCCCCCUCGGCG
rnacentral:tRNA from 1 species